UACGGGGGGGGGCAAGCGUUGUUCGGAAUUACUGGGCGUAAAGGCUCGUAGGCGGCCAACUAAGUCGGAUGUGAAAUCCCCAGGCUUAACCUGGGAACUGCAUCCGAUACUGGAUGGCUUGAAUCCGGGAGAGGGAUGCAGAAUUCCAGGUGUAGCGGUGAAAUGCGUAGAUAUCUGGAGGAAUACCGGUGGCGAAGGCGGCAUCCUGGACCGGCAUUGACGCUGAUGAGCGAAAAGCUAGGGGGAGCAAACGGG
rnacentral:rRNA from 1 species